CAGUGCCACUGCCAUCACUUCCAGUACCAGUUCCAUCACUUCCAGUGCCAGUUCCAUCACUUCCAUUUCCAUUUCCAGUGCCAGUAUCAGUGCCAAGACUGCCUUUGGUUCCAAUUCCACCACUUCCUAAUGUUCCAAUUCCACCACUUCCUAAUGUUCCAGUACCUGGUGUACCAAUCCCUCAAGUUCCACAGGUUAGUGAGGUUGAGUUGCCACAGUUACCACAAGUUCCUAAGGUUGUGCCUGCAAUACCAAAGAUACCUUCAGUAGUUCCAGUUCCUGAGUUACCUAUUCCUU
rnacentral:lncRNA from 1 species